rnacentral:rRNA from 1 species
AGUGAACGCUGGCGGUAGGCCUAACACAUGCAAGUCGAACGGCAGCACAGUAAGAUCUUGCUCUUACGGGUGGCGAGUGGCGGACGGGUGAGGAAUACAUCGGCAUCUUCUUUUUCGUGGGUGAUAACGUAGGGAAACUUACGCUAAUACCGCAUACGACCUACGGGUGAAAGCAGGGGAUCUUCGGACCUUGCGCGAUUGAAUGAGCCGAUGUCGGAUUAGCUAGUUGGCUGGGUAAAGUCCCACCAAGGCGACGAUCCGUAGCUGGUCUGAGAGGAUGAUCAGCCACACUGGAACUGAGACACGGUCCAGACUCCUACGGGAGGCAGCAGUGGGGAAUAUUGGACAAUGGGCGCAAGCCUGAUCCAGCCAUGCCGCGUGAGUGAAGAAGGCCUUCGGGUUGUAAAGCCCUUUUGUUGGGAAAGAAAAGCAGCAGAUUAAUACCCCGCUGUUCUGACGGUACCCAAAGAAUAAGCACCGGCUAACUUCGUG